rnacentral:rRNA from 1 species
GAUGAACGCUGGCGGCGUGCCUAACACAUGCAAGUCGAGCGGAAAGACGCGGCGCUUGCUUGUCUGAUGUUAGCGGCGGACGGGAGAGUAACGCGUGGAUACCCUACUUAUAAGUCUGGGAUCACUACGGGAAACCGGAGCUAAUACGGGAUAAGAUUUUGAACCGCGUGGGUCAAAGGUGAAAGACGGUCGUGCUGGCACUUAUAGAUGGAUCCGCGCUGCAUUAGCUAGUUGGUAAGGUAACGGCUUACCAAGGCAACGAUGCAUAGCCGACCUGAGAGGGUGAUCAGCCACACUGGAACUGAGACACGGUCCAGACUCCUACGGGAGGCAGCAGUAGGGAAUCUUCCGCAAUGGGCGAAAGCCUGACGGAGCAACGCCGCGUGAGUGAUGAAGGUCUUCGGGUCGUAAAACGCUGUUAUUAGGGAAGAACAUGUUUGUGAGUAUCUCUGCGCCUCAUGACGGUACCUUAUCAAAAAGCCCCGGCUAACUACGUG